GAGAGGUGCCUGCAGCCUAGGCGGCAACCAUGCUAUCUUGCACAGACACAAAAAGCCUUUUGGAAGGUUGUGUCUUUGUUGAAGAUGAUGUUUAGCAUUUUAGCAUUCAAGACUCUUCAGACACGGAUUGCGAGAACGCCUGGCCUGAGAAAUUGACACCCGAGUGAAUGGAGGCGAAUGCACCUGCUUAAGUUGAGGAAGGCAGAUCACCAAAGGCGGCAGGAGUCCAGUGGUGAGGAUGGGAGGUCGGGAGAAGCUAAGAAGAAGGAGAGAAGAGACUCUACAGUGGGAGAACCACUUUGGGAAGAGCAGGAUCAGCCCCUUUAUCAUUUCGGUUUCCCUCUUCUGCUGCACCUUCUUCAGUUCGACAGUAUCGCUUUUUUGGUAAUCUGGCGACCGGAAGGAUACACUUUACUUCUGAGGAACAGCUACAACUGGAAACAAGGUCAGCUUCAUGUUGUUGUUGUUGUUGUUGUUGUUGUUGUUGUUGUUAUAGCCCAGUAAGCUUCCAGACCACCUUGGGUUUAUUCUCUCUUUUUGACAGUUAAAGCACCACAUUUUCAUUGAUGCCAGGAGAUGUUGAACAGUAGGGCACACAUCCUGGGGUGCCUCUGUUAUGGCACAAGAGAUAUUCCCAGACUGAUUGGGCAAGGUUCGGACCACAAUGUGUGUCUGGACAUUUAAAUUUGCAUUCUGAUUGGGCAAGACCUCUAGGGUUUUUAAAUUCUGUCUUGAUCGAAUUGGGCAAGAUCUCUAGGAUUUUUAAAUUGUAUAUGGAAUUGGGCAAGAUCAAGGCCUGUGUGGGCCUCGAUUUUUAAAUUGCAUCCCCCAGCUUGACCUUUACAAUUGCAAUUCUGAUUGGGCAAGACCUCUAGGGUUUUUAAAUUCUGUAUGGAAUUGGGCAAGAUCGGGGCCUGUGUGGGCCUCGAUUUUUAAAUUGCAUCCCCCAGCUUGACCUUUACAAUUGUAUUCUGAUUGGGCAAGACCUCUAGGGUUUUUAAAUUUUGUAUGGAAUUGGGCAAGAUCAGGGCCUGUGUGGGCCUCGAUUUUUAAAUUGCAUCCCCCAGCUUGACUGAGCACACAAUCUCUAGGUUCCCUUAGAGUGAAUUGGGCAUGAUACCAUUUUUUUAAAAUUCCAUGUUUGGGCAGCUUUAAGCCAGUGGACUGGAGUCCCGUGAGCUUGGAAUCUCCAAUGGCUCAACUGGGCAAGACAAUUGGUGUCUUUAAAUUCUGUCAGGGCCUUGUGGACAUAUUUUUCAGCCAGGGGUGUAGUGUUAAAUUUGGAUCGACUGACCACCCACUUUUAUUCAUGCUCAUGAUAAAGUCUGAAUCAAAUGGAUCACGUUGCGUGUUUUAUAUGCGCUGUGUCCCAAGUCUUGAGUGACCCAUGAAGAGAUGAGUUCUUCUUUAGUGCGCUCAUGGCCAUCUCGGAUCCUUAUUCCUUACUCAAGGAAAGCAUUGAUUUUGAA